CCUGCGUCGGAGAAGCUAGAGUCGAGGGAGUCGCGGUCGCCACCGGGACCUGCAAAAGAAGUCUAAAUCGGAGGUGGGGUUGCUCCGGCAAGACCCUCUAACGCUUAAGUCAGUUCUCUACCUCAACAAGAAUGGAGUGCUUGAACGAAAAUUUUAGCAGAGUUUUUAGGUAAGAAAUGAGAGCUUAGAGAAUAACGUAUCUGGGGUCCCCCUUUUAUAGGUGGAGGGGGCAACAGACUGAUAGCGAUGUUUGCAACUGUCUAGCAGUGGGCUGCCCAGGG
rnacentral:lncRNA from 1 species